UUGGGGCUGGUUUUUGUUGUUGCUGAGUACAUGACAACUGGAUAUGAUGACUGAUUACCUGAGAAAUAACUGAUGAAAUCUCAAGAAAAUUCCUCUAGAUAGUCAAGUUCUGAUCCAGCUAUGUCAGCUCAAAGCAGCAACUUU
rnacentral:miRNA from 14 species